GGGCGUGCCGGGGGCCGGAAGCAGAGGGCGCAGGGCUCCAGGCGCCUGGGUUUCGGGCCUAACGGGCGGUGGAGAUCAGCUGGGCCCGAAAGAGGCGGGGCCAGAAAACCUGAGUCUGCAGAAACGGGGUGUGCGCGCCAACGCGCUGGGCGCGGGGACUGGGCCGCACCCGGCGCUCCCUGCCCUGCGGACUCCGGCUGGAGCUUGAUUUGCAGUUUGCUAGACGCCACCAUUAAGAGAUUGCCAGACAGCAAAGAAUAGAAAGAGUGGCGCUUUUAACUUUUGUUUUGGUUGGUUGAAUUUUUUUUUUCCCUCUCGGCUGGCAUUAACAGCGGUGAACCAGCCGGCUUAUACCAAGACUCUCCGAAUUCCCUUCGAUUCGAAGGUCAGCGUCUCCUGAGUUAGACGUCGAAUCUGAGAAUGGUGGUGUACCACAGAGCUCGAAAGUGAGCCCGAAAGUUGGCCGGUCACUAAGACAAACGCUCUGGCUUCACGCUGCAGUUCUAAAAUGCCGCCUUUAACUGUGAAGUACUUUUUAACUGUGAGGGAAAAAUAGAAUACGGAAAAAAAAAGGACUGAACCCGUGCCUCGGACCAGGGUCUAGUAGGCUGAAGGUACCUAAAAGAUUAAGUGUCCCGGCGGGGGAGGCUUGAUUAUCAAGUUAGUCAAGUAAACGUUGGGUUUCUUCUUUAGGUUAGCGCACCGAGCAGAAUAGAAACGUGGACGUGACUUGUAGGUCACUGAGAAGUGACCUCAGCCAUCCAGGAAAAAACCAGCCAGCGAGCUUUCUUGGACUGUAAACAAUUGCACUUAACUCCGUUUGUCCUUGAGUGCAGAGGACAUUUCAGCUUAGCAAACUCUAGACUUUAUGAUGGGACCCUGAGCCGUGCAACAGAGGGAUAAGGCAGCUUCUCGUUUUAGGAACUUACCUGAUGUGGACCCCUCUACAUUAGUCUCAUCUGAAGAUCCGUCCUCCUAACCCAGCACUCACACAUUUGCAGCUCCAGGAUGUGCCCUUCUCUCAAAACUGUGCCUUAGCUGUGCCCUGUGACUACACACCUUUCUUUCACUUCUGGCCAGCACCUCCUGAGGUAACUAACCAGCUCUGCGGACGAUAAGCUAUCUGAGUUCAGAGCCCAGCUUGUAGGUUACCUUAAGCCUCUGGUGACUAUACACUGUAUGUAUGAUUUAUUUAUCUACCCUACCUACUAGGUUUUAGGGCAAGCAUGCUUUUAAAAACUCGUCAUCUCGUGGUUGGCAUAGUACCCAGCACGUAACUUACGUAAGUACUCGUCUUUACAAAACUAGUGGAAUGCAGCAGGUACUAUGUUCGGUAUCACAUAAUGUCUCAUUUCAUCUCUAUAACAAUCACAUGGCCGGGCGCGGUGGCUCAUGCCUGUCAUCCCAGCACUUUGGGAGGCCGAGGUGGGUGUAUCACCUGAAGUCAAGAGUUUGAGAUCAGCCUGGCCAACAUGAUGAAACCCUGUCUCUACUAAAAAUGCAAAAAUUAGCCAGAUUACAGGGUGGUUACUCACCCCUGUAAUCCCAGCUACUUGAGAGGCUGAGUGGGAGAAUUGCUUGAACCCAUGAGGCGGAGGCUGCAGUAAGCCGAGAUCACGCCACUGCACUCCAGCUUGGGUGACAGAGCAAGACCCUGUCUCAAAAAACAAAAACAAAACAAAAAACCAGUCACAUGAGGAAGCGUUAUGAUAAGACACAACAUGAGUUUCAAGGGCCUCCCACCUCAGCCUCCCAAGAAUCAAGUUUUUAAUAUGCUUUCCAUAAUAUCCUACAACCUGUUAGUAGCCUAAAAUAUAUAUUUUGGUAAUGGCAUGGCUCACCCAUUUACCUGUUGGACUUAGGCAGAAAUGUGUGAUUCCAUGAAGGUCUGAUAAAUGGUCCAAAUGAUAUCCAUUUGCUGUAUUCCACUAAUAGCUGUGUAUAAUUUACUUUUCCCUUGCUGAAAAUGUAUACAAACUAUCAAUGUGUGGGUGUGUUCUUGAGGGUCUAUUAGCCCAGCCAUAAAUGGUAAUUGUUACGAUUUCAGUUAUUAUAGAUGGCGUAAUUCAGGCUCACGGAGAGUAAGUAUGAAAUUACUAGCUAAUAAUUAGAAGAACUAAAUUUCUAACCAAAUUCUCUGAGUCUUCCAGCCACCGAGGAAAGGGAGAAUAGAGCACCAAAGUAAAAGAACAUGGCAAAUGUAUUUUCCUGUUGUUCCUAUGUUAUCUUUUAAUCCAA
rnacentral:lncRNA from 1 species